GCACUUCCGGCGUUCAACGGAUGUUGCUAAGGAAUAUUGCAGCGCUUGUUGAGUGGGACAGAGGAAAAUGCGUGCCUUCUGUGCUUGCAAGCUGCUGCUGGAUACGUUCGUGGGAAACUAGCCGUCUGCAUUUGACAGAUCCUGCGUGUAAAUUUCACGGGAGGCUUGGCCUGAGUGUUUUCGCUGUGCCUUACCAACUCGUGGACCAUGAUGGAGCGACGAAGAGCCUUAACUAUUCCUUUUACUGUUGACAAGGAUAACAUGGUUUCCUGGACUGCGUUUGCUGGCUGCAAAUUGAGACACAGCAGUUUACGGCAUAAAAAUGGGUCCACGACGUUCGAUCAGAACCGCGCAGCUAUGAUCACCAUGGAGAUGAACAGGAGGCAACCCCUUCUGGUCCUAAGAGACGUCCUAAAGACAGAAGCAGGCCAGGCUUACAUAGCCAGGAUAAAAAGAGCCAUACGAUGAGCAACAGAGGACUAAGUACGAGGAGGGAGAGUGUUCGGAGCAAAGAGACUCCUCUGACCUACAGCGACACUAAGACGAGGAAUAAUAGGAGCAAAAGUGAGACCCCUAAACGAAACCAGAAGACCACCCCGUAUCCACUCCAAGGCCAAAACCCAGGAAAGAACUACAAAAGGCUCAGGAGAAGAGGACAAAGAAGAGAGCAAAGCAUCGAGGAGGUGGUGCUGGGAAAGAACGACAGGGAAGACGACAAAAUUCGCUGAGGUUGUAGAUUGUGGAUUGUCAGUAAGCUGGGAGCCCACAGAGAACACAGGCCGGCUGUGAAGACUUCUCCCCCGCCGGCAUCAAGGACGGGUGGACCGAUUCAGAAAAAAGACGAGCAGCAGAAUUUG